rnacentral:tRNA from 3 species
AAUGAAGUGUCUGAUUAUAGAGUUAUUUUGAUAGAGUAAAACAAGUGCUAACACACCUUCAUUA